rnacentral:rRNA from 1 species
CUCGUAGGUGGCCAACUAAGUCAGACGUGAAAUCCCUCGGCUUAACCGGGGAACUGCGUCUGAUACUGGAUGGCUUGAGGUUGGGAGAGGGAUGCGGAAUUCCAGGUGUAGCGGUGAAAUGCGUAGAUAUCUGGAGGAACACCGGUGGCGAAGGCGGCAUCCUGGACCAAUUCUGACGCUGAGGAGCGAAAGCCAGGGGAGCAAACG